CAUCACGAGGGUUGUACUGUCUCCUUUCCCCAAUCAGUGAAACUGAUCUCUCCGUGAAGAAGCGGAGAUAAGCAUACAAGACGAGAAGACCCCAUGGAGCUUUAAACCCAGCAAUUACCUCUGUUCAAAAAUAUCCCUAUAGACAACGGAAUCUUAAAUGUCUGGUUUUGGGUUGGGGUGACCGCGGAGCACAACUUAACCUCCACGAUGGAUGGGCUAACCCCCUUAUCCAUGAGCUACGCCUCUAAGAAUUAGUAAUCUAACAUAAACUGAUCCGAUCAUCGAUCAACGAACCAAGUUACCCUGGGGAUAACAGCGCAAUCCACUUACAGAGCCCCUAUCGACAAGUGGGUUUACGACCUCGAUGUUGGAUCAGGGUAUCCU
rnacentral:rRNA from 1 species